rnacentral:siRNA from 1 species
CUGGAUAUACAAUGUAUAGUA